rnacentral:rRNA from 1 species
UGGGGGAUAUUGAACAAUGGGCGAAAGCCUGAUGCAGCGACGCCGCGUGGGGGAUGAAGGCUUUCGGGUUGUAAACCUCUUUCGCUAUCGAACAAGGCCCGCUUAGGGUGGGUUGAGGGUAGGUGGAGAAGAAGCGCCGGCUAACUACGUGCCAGCAGCCGCGGUAAUACGUAGGGCGCGAGCGUUGUCCGGAAUUAUUGGGCGUAAAGGGCUUGUAGGCGGCUUGUUGCGCCUGCUGUGAAAACGCGGGGCUUAACUUCGCGCGUGCAGUGGGUACGGGCAGGCUUGAGUGUGGUAGGGGUGACUGGAAUUCCAGGUGUAGCGGUGGAAUGCGCAGAUAUCUGGAGGAACACCGAUGGCGAAGGCAGGUCACUGGGCCAUUACUGACGCUGAGGAGCGAAAGCAUGGGUAGCGAACAGG